AUAAAAUUAAGUUAGUAGAAGACUGUGUGUUUUCAAAACACUUAGCGGCUUUAUGCCAUUUUAUG
rnacentral:tRNA from 2 species